GUUGUUCUGUCUCAGCUUCCAAACAUGAACUCCAUUGCUGGUGUUUCGCUAGUUGGAGCCAUCACUGCUGUUGGGUAUUGUACGCUUAUAUGGGCGGUUUCUGUCGCUGAAGGUAGGAUGCCUGGGGUAUCAUACAACCCUGUGCGUGCUUCCAGUGACAUAGAAAGGACUUUUGAUAUCUUAAAUGCGCUUGGGAUCAUUGCUUUUGCCUUUAGAGGUCACAAUCUCAUACUUGAAAUUCAGGCUACAAUGCCUUCAAGUGAGAAGCAUCCAUCACGAG
rnacentral:misc_RNA from 1 species